rnacentral:rRNA from 1 species
GAUUGAACGCUGGCGGCAGGCCUACCACAUGCAAGUCGAGCGGAUGAAGGGAGCUUGCUCCUGGAUUCAGCGGCGGACGGGUGAGUAAUGCCUAGGAAUCUGCCUGGUAGUGGGGGAUAACGUCCGGAAACGGGCGCUAAUACCGCAUACGUCCGGAGGGAGAAAGUGGGGGAUCUUCGGACCUCACGCUAUCAGAUGAGCCUAGGUCGGAUUAGCUAGUUGGUGGGGUAAAGGCCUACCAAGGCGACGAUCCGUAACUGGUCUGAGAGGAUGAUCAGUCACACUGGAACUGAGACACGGUCCAGACUCCUACGGGAGGCAGCAGUGGGGAAUAUUGGACAAUGGGCGAAAGCCUGAUCCAGCCAUGCCGCGUGUGUGAAGAAGGUCUUCGGAUUGUAAAGCACUUUAAGUUGGGAGGAAGGGCAGUAAGUUAAUACCUUGCUGUUUUGACGUUACCAACAGAAUAAGCACCGGCUAACUUCGUG